UUGUCUGUUGUAAAUCCUGCCCACUUGUUUGCAUUGUGACACAUGCUUCAGUGCUCUGAGAGUGUUUAUAGUGCUGUGAGUUUAACACUUCAUGACUGAGAGCAGAACAGACACAAUCUUCAUCAUCACACAAGACAAAAGAACAACAAUGAACACAAUCACCUUCUUCAUCUGGACUCUCACUCUCUGCAUUCAGGAGAGCUGGGGACAAGUGACAGUGACUCAGGAUCCUGCAAUAAAAUCCAUCAAACAAGGAGAAACUGUUACAAUCAGCUGUAAAACCAGUCAGCCGAUUUCUGGCUGUAGUAACUGUGUGUCUUGGUAUCAGCAGAAACCUGGAGAAGCUCCUAAACUCCUGAUUUAUUACAUAAGAAGCCUUCAGUCAGGAACUCCAUCUAGAUUCAGUGGCAGUGGAUCUGACUAUGGCAGUGAUUUCACUCUGACCAUCAGUGGAGUCCAGACUGAAGAUACAGGAGAUUAUUACUGUCAGAGUUUACAUAGCAUCAACAGUAAAGUUGUAAAGUUGUGUUCACACAGUGAUAAAGAGUGGUACAAAAACCUCGGUCAGUCAGACGUCACAGUGAUGCUCUGAUACAGCUGAGAGAUACUGCAGCUGCUGAUGGAGGAUCACAAACAACACAAUGACAAUAUUUAGCAAAAGUUUCUAAAGACUAUAAAGGU